UACGGAGGGGGCUAGCGUUGUUCGGAAUUACUGGGCGUAAAGCGCACGUAGGCGGCUUUGCAAGUUAGAGGUGAAAGCCCGGGGCUCAACUCCGGAAUUGCCUUUAAAACUGCAUCGCUAGAAUUGUGGAGAGGUAAGUGGAAUUCCGAGUGUAGGGGUGAAAUUCGUAGAUAUUCGGAAGAACACCAGUGGCGAAGGCGACUUACUGGACACAUAUCGACGCUGAGGUGCGAAAGCGUGGGGAGCAAACAGG
rnacentral:rRNA from 1 species